CAUCAGUGGAGCUCGCAAGCCGUUCUCCUCCCCUGCCUCCCCCUUCCAUGGGAUAGAAAGAGCGCAGGAAGGCUUCCAGUGAAGAGAGCCCCCUCCCCAUCUUGAAUGGAAACCUCCCCAGGCCUGCCUAGCUCACAAGGGUGUCUACUCCAACAAGUGGUGGUGUGCCCAGCUGGCCCUGCUGUGGGGCAGACCAUAAAUUCAGUCAGGCGAACACUGAUUGAUUUCUAAGUGUGAAAUCGAUAGGAACAGAUGAACUGAAUAGGG